rnacentral:lncRNA from 10 species
GUGAACCUCCAGUCCAUUCUUUAUUCAGGCACCAGUAGGAUGCUGUGCUGGGUGGCAUUCCUGCCCCAGCAGGGGCUAGGCCUGAGUCACAUGCAGGGCAGGGGCCUGGUCACAGCCUGGGGCCUCACCUGAGAAAGACCUGUGAGAAAACAUCCCAAUCCCACUCAUUCCUGCCCACACCAGGGCUAGGCACGUGGGGACAGCAGGGACGGUGAAGAGCAUGUUUGGGAAUGUGAUGUUCUGUGGUGGCUUGUUAGGAAAUCAUAAGUAGCUUUCUCCUGAUGACCAGCUUGAACACUGGAUCGCUGAGCAGGGCACAGGUGGAAGGAAUCAGAAAUUACUGUAUUAACACCAGUAUUUUGGAGGCACAGAAACAAG